AAGUUUAAAAAGUUAAAGUAUUCUGCUUAAAGUCCAAUUAGAAUCCGAUUUUCAUUAAUUCAACCCAACAUCAACUCCUUGCUUCCCUCAGCAAGGGUCAUGCAUUUCUCUACUAAAUUCAUCUCGUUUGCACUCUCCUGCAGCCCACUCUUUCAAAAGAUGAUCUCAUCUAUCAUUUCAAUCCCACUGAACCCAUCUGUUCUUCGCUGUUUCCAUUUCUCGGCACCACCAGCAAUGGCGCAUCAAGGGUAUCACAGCACCAGCAUACUCUGUUCACUAGUUUGCCCCAUCUCCCAAGGAAUCUCCAUAACCCUUGAGAAUUUAAUCUCUUUCUACCAAUCUCUCACUGUUUCAAAGCUCGAAAAGCAUAGCACAGCAAAACAACAAAAUUCAUGGCAAUGGCUGGGUGUCUCAGAUCGGGUCUGUCUCUACUUAAUAGGGUUCUAAUAUCUGAUUCCCUCUCUGCUUCACAAUCGGCCUUUCAGUGAUCCGUUAUUUGCCAUGCUUUCACAUCUGAGGAAGCAUUAUUAAUUUUUGGGCGCAGAGUAGACUUAUGAUAACUCUUCUAAAUGAAUUUUCGAAGAGAUCAAGCAGAGCACUUUCUCUGCUGGAAGGUUGAAAGCUCUGCUUCACAAUCUCAUUCCAACCAUUGCUAUUGCAUUGCCAAGCUAUUUAAUUGACUGCUUGUCCAAUUAAAUGAAUGAAUGGCUAAAGGUAAAAAAUCUAGGGUUAUCUGCUGUGUCAGUGCCAAUAUUUAGCUAAUUUUGUUGCCAUGGUUUUGAUGUUGUGGCAUUUGGUUUUAGGGGUUGUAUCAAAGAUGGAUGCAAUUAGUUUCAGUAAAGUUCAAAUUUUUGUGUGGGUGUGGCUUGGACAAGAGGAUCAGAUCCGAUGAUAAGAAAUUGUUUUGUGUUCUAUUUUUUAAUUCUCAAUUUUUUUUAUCCUUUAUUAUGAAGCUUGUGUUAAAUUCAAUAACAGCCUACUUAUUUUGUUGCUUUAGUUGUGCAGUUGUGUAAUGAUGAAGAAUGCAGGUAAAGAUCUAUCCCCUUUUUUUCAGUUCUUCAAGCACCUUCCUUUCCUGCUACCUAACCAUGUGUGCCCUGUCAGAUUGUAUACAUGAAUAUGGAGAAGCUUAUGAAGAUGGUUGGUGCAGGGAGAAAAGAGGCAGAGAUGCUGGAAAACAUUGCACCUACACCUCAGCCUGAUAUGCUCCUCCCAAUCAAAGGCAAGCUUUCUUUGCUUUUUGUAUUUUCUUUUAUUUGUUACAUAACUCUAAGAUCAAGAAUAAGGUCUUGCUAUUUAAAUUUGCAGAAAUCAUUCUCUUAACAGAUGCAAAUUAGGCCUGUUUCUUUUCUUUUUCCUCAACUUAUUAAUUAAAAAAAAAAAAAUUGUAGAGUUUUUGUUGGGAAAUAUUGUUGAAAUGCAUUUAUGAUUUUGCUCAUUAAGGAAUUUUAUGAAACUAAAUUUAGUAAGAAUGAAGCUUUUUCCAUUAGCUUAUCUACUGAGUGCAAAUGAUAAGGAUAAAUAGGGAUUGGUUCAUUAGCUUCAUGUUUUGGUGUACCUUUCUUUAAUUUAAGGUUGUUGUUCAUCUCUCUUUAAUGGGUUUAUGCUCCCUACUUUGUUUUUCUUUGGUACAAUCAUUUGCUUCUUUUGUGCCCUUGCUUUUGCUAGUUAUUUUUACUCUUAUCUGGAACAGCUACUACUGCAACCCUAUUCUUACUUACAGAGGUAUUAAUUUCUUGCUUUAUUCAUGUUGCUCUUCGUUUAAUGUGUUUAUUCUCCAUUUGUUCUUACUAAUCUCCUUCCCUUAGUUUUUCCCCUGCCUUUAAUGCUUUUAUCUAGGGCUGUUUUCGUUGUCACUCUCAAAGCUAAUUCUUGCACUUUGCAACAAUGUUUUCUGAUUUUGAGUUAGUGUUGUUUUAGAAGUAUGAUGGAUAUUUAGUUGGUCUUCCCUCUAUUCAUCAAUGAAUAGGUCUUUUGGUAAUAUUGUUUCAUCUAAUCCUGCCUUGGAACAAAGUGGUGAGUAAGAGGCAAUUAAAAUUUGGUUAACAAACCACAAGUUAAUUUAUAUUAAGUCAUGGAUGCAAAUAUAGAGUUCACUUCAUAUCAAGUAAAGAAAAAGAAUAGCUUACUUGAAAAACAUAUGAUUUGCCUAAGCUUUUUCCUUUAUGCUUUGUGUAAAAGAAAAUUAAAAAAAAAAAAAGAAAAAGAUAAUGCAUAACUGAAUAGGACUAAGCUAUAGUAGCACAAAUCUUAGAUCUCCAACACAGGAGCUAAUCUUGCUCCAGUAGUUAUCACCAGCCACAUGCUCCUCCAACCAACCUGAGUUUUAAGAUUUGCUUCAUCUGUCAUUGUUCAAUUAUUCCUCUCCUUUAUGGUGUCAAUUCAGUUAACCAAUGUUUUGAUCCAUGAUAAGUUUUAGAUCUGUAAAUUUAGCAAACAAUUUUGAUUAUGAAUUUUUUGAAAUUAUAAGCAAAUGGAAGUACUUCACAAAUCCAAUUGUCUUUACAUAGAAUUAUUGUUCAAAGAGUGAAAAAAAAAAUUCAUUUUAUUGAAAAAUUUAAACUAAAAUAAUAUGCAGUGAGAAUGAGCUUUCCUUCCUGUCUUUAUUAUUUUGUCAUCUUCUCCAUCAAUACAAGAAGAGAAAAUUUAAGUCUUUCGAUAUUUAAAUUAAACCCACCACUGUAUAUAUUAAGUACAAAACCUUGAUUAGUUUACAUAUUUAGUUAACACACUUGAGAAUCAUACUUUGGUGCAUGAUAUCAUGUUAAUAAUUAUAUAUGUUAAUCAAGCAUAUUCCUACUGUGAUAUAUCAUUAAUCAUUAUAUUAUCCUUUUGCUAGUUAUAAAAGAAGAAUUUAUUUCAAAACUACAUAAAGUUCUUAAAAUAUUUAAGUUCAUUUUGAGAUAAUAAUUAAUUAGAUUAUUUUACUGAGAGAUGAAAAUGUGAAUUUGAAUUUCAGAAAUUAAUAGCCAAUAAUGAUACAUCAAAAAAAUGAUUUUAGUUAUCAAAUAAAUUAUUCCUUUUAGAAUCCACAACAUGUAUGUUAAAUCAUUUUUUUCAGUAAAUUAAAAAGAUUUACAUAGAAAUGACAGAUUUCAAAGUAGUGAAUAAGUUGACCUUUCAUGAAGAAGAGAAGGCUGGGAGGGUUACCAAAUCUCGUGCUAACAAAUAAUCCGAUAGAGUUCUUAUUUGAUUUAACUAUUCUUAACCUUAUAUCUAAAAAAAAAUGGCUGGUGUUAAUAUAAUAAUGUGCAAUUAUGGACAAUGUGCAAUGGUGGAAGAGAUUUGACAAUUGUACUAGAUUGUCACGACUAAUAGUUUGGUUGCAAUGGAUAGAGACCGGCAGCGUGAGCGUUGGAAGAGUGCAUGUAAUAAAUGAUGCAGAACAUGAUAACACAUAUGAUGCAGGGUACAAAGUUUACGGCUUGAGCUCUAAAUGCUACUCAUUAUGAUGAUGCUAGAUAUACAGAUGGUUAUGACAUUAUUGAUGAUGAUUAGCUUGUUUUGUUAUUCUUAUGAUAUUUUAUUUUUUCAUACAAUAUAUUAUUGUCAUAACUAUUAACUGUGUUAUCUAUAUAUAAUAUUGAUUGAUAUUUGAUAUUUGAUAA